UACGUAGGGCGCAAGCGUUGUCCGGAAUUAUUGGGCGUAAAGAGCUCGUAGGCGGUUUGUCGCGUCUGUCGUGAAAGCUUGGGGCUUAACCCCAAGUCUGCGGUGGAUACGGGCAGACUAGAGGCGGGUAGGGGAGAACGGAAUUCCCGGUGUAGCGGUGAAAUGCGCAGAUAUCGGGAGGAACACCGGUGGCGAAGGCGGUUCUCUGGGCCUGUACUGACGCUGAGGAGCGAAAGCGUGGGGAGCGAACAGG
rnacentral:rRNA from 1 species